rnacentral:misc_RNA from 1 species
UUUCCGUAGGUGAACCUGCGGAAGGAUCAUUACUGAGUGAGGGCCCUCUGGGUCCAACCUCCCACCCGUGUUUAUUGUACCUUGUUGCUUCGGUGCGCCCGCCUCACGGCCGCCGGGGGGCUUCUGCCCCCGGGUCCGCGCGCACCGGAGACACCAUUGAACUCUGUCUGAAGAUUGCAGUCUGAGCAUAAACUAAAUAAGUUAAAACUUUCAACAACGGAUCUCUUGGUUCCGGCAUCGAUGAAGAGCGCAGC